GGUUUUAAGCAAUGUUGCUUUAUGGCUAUUUGUCAGUGUGAUUUGUUGUGGUAGUUAUGUACUCAUCAUUUCUUACAAUCUUCAUAUCUGGGAUACUGUUUCUUCUUUUCUUUGCUUUUUUGAGUUUACAUUUGCCUUGAUAUUUGUUAAGCUUGAUACCUUUGUACUUCUUGUAGUGUCUCCUUCAGCAUAUCUCUUGUAAAAAUUGCUGCUGCAGUAGCUGAUUUAUUCAUUUUUCUUUUACUGGCAAGAAACCAAAUAUUUCAGUGUAAGAAAAUGGGCGUUAGUGGUAUUAUUACAUUAAAAUGAUUUUAUGUUUUAUUGAUCUUCUCUAUAAUAUGAUUUUACAUGUAGAAAUGGUGGCAUGGAUAGGAAGAAGAUCAUUGCCAUAGAUUGACUUGUAGCAAUCUGCUCCAACUACAACUAGAUCGAACACUGAGCUCUGAUUUUUCAAUCAAAUAUUUCCGCAACACAUCAUCUUGAUUUUGGUAAAGAGACUGCAUGGUGGGGACCACCUGUGAACACAGAUAAAGUCUUUGGGGACGAUUUAUGGGUUCUGUCAC